UGGGUCCUACGGGAGGCAGCAGUAGGGAAUUUUCGUCAAUGGGCGCAAGCCUGAACGAGCAAUGCCGCGUGAACGAGGAAGGUCUUCGGAUCGUAAAGUUCUGUUGAAGGGGAAAAAGAGCGGAGAGAGGAAAUGGUCUCCGAUUGAUAUUACCCUUCGAGGAAGUCACGGCUAACUACGUGCCAGCAGCCGCGGUAAUACGUAGGUGGCGAGCGUUAUCCGGAAUGAUUGGUCGUAAAGGGUGCGUAGGCGGCCUGCUUAGUCUGGAUUGACAGUCACCGGCUCACCCGGUACAGGCUCUGGAA
rnacentral:rRNA from 1 species